AAGACGGGACGAAGCGUAACCGUAAGGAUACGUGGACUGUCUUGAAGAGAGAAUGCCGGAAUGAGUAGCGAGAAUGAAGUGAGAAUCUUCAUGGCCGAAUAUCUAAGGUUUCCAGGGUAAAGCUGAUCUGCCCUGGGUAAGUCGGGACCUAAGGCGAGGUCGAAAGACGUAGCCGAUGGACAACAGGUUGAAAUUCCUGUACUGCAUUAAAUCAGAACUGUGGGGACACAGAAGGAAGGCAUGAGCCGGAAAAGGAAAAUCCGGUGCAAGCAUGGGAGGGGUAUGACAGGCAAAUCCGUCAUGCAACCCGAGAAUGUGACGCGGAGCGAACAAAAGUAGCGAAGCAUGCUUACCGGCUGUCGAGAAAAGCCGCUAUUGUGUUUAAUGUACCCGUACCGUAAACCGACACAGGUGGAUGAGGAGAGAAUCCUAAGGCCGGCGGGAGAAGCAUUGUUAAGGAACUCGGCAAAAUGACCCCGUAACUUCGGGAGAAGGGGUGCUCUUAGAAAUAAGAGCCGCAGAGAAUUGGCCCAAGCAACUGUUUAGCAAAAACACAGGUCUAUGCAAAACCGAAAGGUGAGGUAUAUGGGCUGACGCCUGCCCGGUGCUGGAAGGUUAAGAGGAGAGGUCAGAGCAAUCGAAGCCUUGAAUUUAAGCCCCAGUAAACGGCGGCCGUAACUAUAACGGUCCUAAGGUAGCGAAAUUCCUUGUCGGGUAAGUUCCGACCCGCACGAAAGGCGUAAUGAUUUGGGCACUGUCUCGACAAUGCACCCGGUGAAAUUGAAAUACCAGUGAAGAUGCUGGUUACCUGCGCCAGGACGGAAAGACCCCAUGGAGCUUUACUCUAGUUUGAUACUGGGAUUCGGUAUUGCAUGUACAGGAUAAGUGGGAGGCUGUGAAGCGAUGACGCCAGUUGUCGCAGAGCCGCUGUUGGGAUACCACCCCUGCAGUACUGGGUUUCUAACCUGCGGCCGUAAUCCGGCCGGGGGACAAUGUCUGACGGGGAGUUUGACUGGGGCGGUCGCCUCCGAAAGGGUAUCGGAGGCGCUCAAAGGUUCCCUCAGAAUGGUUGGAAACCAUUCGAAGAGUGCAAAGGCAGAAGGGAGCUUGACUGCGACACCGACGGGUGGAGCAGGUACGAAAGUAGGACUUAGUGAUCCGGUGGUAUGAAAGUGGGAUUGCCAUCGCUCAACGGAUAAAAGCUACCCUGGGAUAACAGGCUUAUCACUCCCAAGAGUUCACAUCGACGGAGUGGUUUGGCACCUCGAUGUCGGCUCAUCGCAUCCUGGGGCUGUAGUAGGUCCCAAGGGUUGGGCUGUUCGCCCAUUAAAGCGGUACGCGAGCUGGGUUCAGAACGUCGUGAGACAGUUCGGUCCCUAUCCGGCGUGGGCGUAGGAUAUCUGAGAGGAGCUGUCCUUAGUACGAGAGGACCGGGAUGGACUGACCUCUGGUGUACCGGUUGCACUGCCAAGUGCAUGGCCGGGUAGCCAAGUCGGGACGGGAUAAACGCUGAAGGCAUCUAAGCGUGAAGCCCCCCUCAAGAUGAGAUAUCCCAUAGAGUAAUCUAGUAAGACCCCUUGAAGACGACGAGGUAGAUAGGUGAAAGGUGGAAGCGUGGUGACAUGUGGAGCUGAUUCAUACUAAUAGGUCGAGGGCUUAAC
rnacentral:rRNA from 1 species